AGUCGAACGAGUUCAGGGAGCAAUCCCUGAGCUAGUGGCGAACGGUCGAGUAACACGUAAGCAACCUGCCCGGGAGCGGGGGACAAGCCGUCGAAAGACGGGGUAAUACCGCAUACCUUUAUCAAAGUCAUCUUUGAUAAAGAAAGAUUUAUCACUCCCGGAGGGGCUUGCGGCCUAUCAGCUAGUUGGCGGGGUAACGGCUUACCAAGGCGACGACGGGUAGCUGGUCUGAGAGGACGGCCAGCCGCUGGGACUGAGAUACGGCCUAGACUCCUACGGGGGGCUAGCUUCUAGGAAUCUUGCGCUAAUGGGGAAAGCUCUGACGCACGAUGCCGCGUGGGUGAUGAAGUCUUUCGGUAGUGUAAACUAUCGUAAGAAUGGGAAGAAUAAAUGAC
rnacentral:rRNA from 1 species